rnacentral:rRNA from 1 species
UAGUUAUAGGAGGUGUAGGUAAAUCCGCACUUUUUGAUGAACCUGAUAGUACUCAAAGGCUUCGGCCGGCGAGAUAGUGUCCCUAAUCAGACUCGCGAGAAAACCCUCUAAGGUUAGGCUAAUACAACCCGUACCGUAAACCGACACAGGUAGUCGAGAUGAGUAUUCUAAGGCGCUCGGGUGAGCCGUGGAGAAGGAACUAGGCAAAUUAACGCUGUAACUUCGGGAUAAAGCGUACCGCAGCGAUGCGGUCACAGUAAAAUGGUUCAACCAACUGUUUAGCAAAAACACAGGGCCCUGCAAAAUCGAAAGAUGACGUAUAGAGCCUGAUACCUGCCCGAUGCUGGAAGGUUAAGGAAGCUUGUUCGCAGCAAUGCAAAGCUUGUGACCGAAGCCCCAGUAAACGGCGGCCGUAACGAUAACGGUCCUAAGGUAGCGAAAUUCCUUGUCGGGUAAGUUCCGACCUGCACGAAUGGUCUAAUGAGUUGAGCACUGUCUCCUCCACGAGCCCGGUGAAAUUGUAGUAUCGGUGAAGAUGCCGGUUACCCGCCACGGGACGAAAAGACCCCGUGAACCUUCACUACAACUUUGCAUUGAUUUUGAGUAACAGAUGUGUAGCAUAGUUGGGAGACUAUGAAGCGGGCGCGCCAGCGCUUGUGGAGUCACCGUUGAAAUACCAACCUUCUGUUACUUAGAGUCUAAUCCGGUGUAAGCCGGAAACAUUGCAUGGUGGGUAGUUUGACUGGGGUGGUCGCCUCCUAAAGAGUAACGGAGGCUCGCAAAGGUACCCUCAGUACGGUUGGUAAUCGUACGCAGAGCGCAUUAGUAUAAGGGUGCUUGACUGUGAGGCUGACCAGCCGAGCAGGUGCGAAAGCAGGCUAAAGUGAUCCGGUGGUUCCGCAUGGAAGGGCCAUCGCUCAAAGGAUAAAAGGUACUCCGGGAUAACAGGCUGAUCUCCCCCAAGAGCUCAUAUCGACGGGGAGGUUUGGCACCUCGAUGUCGGUUCGUCACAUCCUGGGGCUGGAGAAGGUCCCAAGGGUUGGGCUGUUCGCCCAUUAAAGUGGCACGUGAACUGGGUUCAGAACGUCGCAAGACAGUUCGGUCUCUAUCUGUGGUGGGCGUUAGUAAAUUGCGUGGACAUGACCUUAGUACGAGAGGACCGGGUCGUAUGUACCGCUGGUGUAUCUGUUGUGCCGCCAGGUGCAGUGCAGAGUAGCUAUGUACAGCCAGGAUAAGCGCUGAAAGCAUCUAAGCGCGAAACCUUCCACAAGAUGAAUUUACUUUUAAGGGUCGUCAGAGACUAUGACGUUGAUAGGCUACAGGUGUAAAGGCAGUAAUGUCAAAGCCGAGUAGUACUAAUUGCCCGUAAGCUUUAACUA